rnacentral:rRNA from 1 species
UACGUAGGCAGCGAGCGUUGUUCGGAGUUACUGGGCGUAAAGAGUGCGUAGGCGGUGUCGAAAGUUUGGCGUGAAAUCUCCCGGCUUAACUGGGAGGGUGCGCCGAAAACUGCGAUGCUGGAGUGUGGGAAAGGCAAGCGGAAUUCCUGGUGUAGCGGUGAAAUGCGUAGAUAUCAGGAGGAACACCGGCGGUGUAGACGGCUUGCUAGACCAUAACUGACGCUGAGGCACGAAAGCGUGGGUAGCAAACAGG